GCUCAACUUCAACUGAGUCUGACAGCAUAUAGACUUCACAAGUGACAAAGUGAAAUCCUAACUAUGCUGUCAUAUGGGUGUAUCGCUAACUAAGCAUAAAGGACGUUGCCUUGCUCUCACGGGGAAUGACGCAGCAGCUGAGCCGGUCGAGAAAUAGGAAGUCGAGCUGCUUGUAGCAUUUUCCACAAGUGCUGUGCAACAGCGACAAAGAAUGACUGGGCCAAUAGCACUAUAAGCCAAAAAUACGAUCUGGUGACUCGUUAAUUUAGCAGACAUAUUGACACUAGAAGAAGAAGAAAAAGUGUGAAGUAAAGUUGCCUGCAAAUAUUCUGUUUGACGCUCUAGUUUAAUUUGUUGUUAUUCACGUGUUCAGUGUUUCAAAAAUUGUACCAUCUAACCUCAGGCAGUCCUGGUUUUUUCAGGGCAGUUUUCCAGCAUGAUACCUUGUCUGCGCACACAAAACACAAACGCAUUUGUCUAAUUAGAUUUCACCUGCCUAAACAUAAUGUAAGGCAGUUCAGUAGGGUCUGUGAUGGAUUCACAGUGACCUAGCUCACAUCGGCAUCUGAAAAAUAUUGCCUGAUAGGUGAGACACUAAUUUAAUUAUGGAGAGGAAUAAUUUAAGAUUGAAAGAAAUGAACUGAUAUUUAACCUUUUAAUGUCACCAGAAAGAGAUACUGAAAUCAGAAGUCACAGUCAGAGGCUAACCCUGCCAAUGCUGUUCAGUCACAUCACUGCAGUCACAGGUUUAGACGCAGCACACAGAAAUGACCAUAAUGACCUUGACCUCGACAUUUAACAUUAUAACAAACAUCCUAUGGCCAUUAUUUGGUCACUGAACUCAAGAAGACUUAAGAGAAGGUAAAUUGCAAUAAAUACAUAAAUCGACAAGUACAAACAUAAGAACAUAAGAACUAUACAAACAAGAGGAGGCCAUUCGGCCCAUCGAGCUUGCUUGGGGAGAACUUAUAACUAAUAG